rnacentral:rRNA from 1 species
UACGUAGGUGGCAAGCGUUGUCCGGAAUUAUUGGGCGUAAAGCGCGCGCAGGCGGUCCUUUAAGUCUGAUGUGAAAGCCCACGGCUCAACCGUGGAGGGUCAUUAGAAACUGGGGGACUUGAGUACAGAAGAGAAGAGUGGAAUUCCACGUGUAGCGGUGAAAUGCGUAGAGAUGUGGAGGAACACCAGUGGCGAAGGCGACUCUUUGGUCUGUAACUGACGCUGAGGCGCGAAAGCGUGGGGAGCAAACGGG